rnacentral:rRNA from 1 species
GAUGAACGCUGGCGGCGUGCCUAAUACAUGCAAGUCGAGCGAACGGACGAGAAGCUUGCUUCUCUGAUGUUAGCGGCGGACGGGUGAGUAACACGUGGAUAACCUACCUAUAAGACUGGGAUAACUUCGGGAAACCGUAGCUAAUACCGGAUAAUAUUUUGAACCGCAUGGUUCAAAAGUGAAAGACGGUCUUGCUGUCACUUAUAGAUGGAUCCGCGCUGCAUUAGCUAGUUGGUAAGGUAACGGCUUACCAAGGCAACGAUGCAUAGCCGACCUGAGAGGGUGAUCGGCCACACUGGAACUGAGACACGGUCCAGACUCCUACGGGAGGCAGCAGUAGGGAAUCUUCCGCAAUGGGCGAAAGCCUGACGGAGCAACGCCGCGUGAGUGAUGAAGGUCUUCGGAUCGUAAAACUCUGUUAUUAGGGAAGAACAUAUGUGUAAGUAACUGUGCACAUCUUGACGGUACCUAAUCAGAAAGCCACGGCUUACUACGUG